CCUUUCGGGUAGGGGUAAGGCCUGUCUACAUAUUACCCUCCCCAGACCCACUUUGUGGGACUAUACUGGGUAGUUGUUGUUGUUGUUGUAUAACGUGAGCCUGAAACGUUUUUGGUGAGCUCGUGAAAAUCUUUCAAGAAACUUUAUCACAUUUCUCACAAACAUGUGUACAAAGAUGAGAAGAAAAUCCAUCAUCAAAAAAGAUGAAGCUUGUCAAAAGCCUUCUCAAAGUUUUGCGUCGUUUCCAACAUCAAAUAGGUGGAAUUCCACCUAGUAGGAACAUCCAAACACAAUAUUUUGCUACAUUCUACCUCUUGAUGUGCACAAUAUUCCCUAAACUUGAAGGUCAUUUGUGGAGAUGAUCUCACAUACCUAACAGCUUGUCUAACACGUUUUACAAAACCAUUCCCUAAACUUUAAGGUCCUUUUGUGGAGGUGAGCUCACAAACCUAACAGCUCGUCUAACACGUUUUACAGAAAUAUCAAUUUCUUUCGAACCAUCUUGCACAAUUAGAUUAAGUAUGUGAGCCAUGCAUCUCACAUGAAGAUGGCUAAAAUCCAUCGAAUUAGUUUUUCACAUAUCUAGUUGUUUAGACAAUUCUUUAACUAUGACAUCAUUUGAAGAAGCAUUAUCAAUAGUAACAGUGAAUACCUUAUCAAAUUUCCAUUCAAGCAAACAAUUACCAAUAAACUUUGUCAUUUCGUCACCAUGUGACUAGAGAUAAGGCAAAAAUUUAGUAUUCUUUUAUGCAACACCCAAUCUCUAUCAAUAAAAUGACCCGUCAAACACAUAUAGUUAAUUCUUUAUAACGAAGUUCAUGUGUCUGUGGUAAGGCAAAUUCUUGGUUUUACAUCUCUGUAAUUUUUCAUUAGUUUAAGUCUCUCUUCAUUGUAAACUUGGGAACGAUCCAUUAUAAUUGUCCUACGAGAAGGAACAUUAAAUUGGGGUUGGGCUAUGCUCAUAAACUUCUUAAAGCCUUUCAUUUCAACAAAGCUAAAAGGUAAUUCCUCCACAAUUACCAUCUCAACUAAAGCCCUCCUAACUAGUUCUUGAUCAAAUUUCCAAAGCACCCCACCA
rnacentral:lncRNA from 1 species